rnacentral:rRNA from 1 species
GACGAACGCUGGCGGCGUGCUUAACACAUGCAAGUCGAACGGAAAGGCCCUGCUUUUGUGGGGUGCUCGAGUGGCGAACGGGUGAGUAACACGUGAGUAACCUGCCCUUGACUUUGGGAUAACUUCAGGAAACGGGGGCUAAUACCGGAUAGGAGCUCCUGCUGCAUGGUGGGGGUUGGAAAGUUUCGGCGGUUGGGGAUGGACUCGCGGCUUAUCAGCUUGUUGGUGGGGUAGUGGCUUACCAAGGCUUUGACGGGUAGCCGGCCUGAGAGGGUGACCGGCCACAUUGGGACUGAGAUACGGCCCAGACUCCUACGGGAGGCAGCAGUGGGGAAUAUUGCACAAUGGGCGGAAGCCUGAUGCAGCAACGCCGCGUGCGGGAUGACGGCCUUCGGGUUGUAAACCGCUUUCGCCUGUGACGAAGCGUGAGUGACGGUAAUGAGUAAAGAAGCACCGGCUAACUACGUG